rnacentral:rRNA from 1 species
AGCGAACGUUUGCGGCGGGCCUAACACAUGCAAGUCGAACGCACUAGCAAUAGUGAGUGGCGCACGGGUGCGUAACACGUGGGUAAUCAACCCUUCAGCCUGGGAUAACGACUCGAAAGGGUCGCUAAUACCGGAUACGGCGCGAGAGGCUUCGGCUUCUCACGAGAAAGCCACGCAAGGGGCACUGAAGGACGAGCCUGCGGCCCAUCAGCUAGUUGGUGAGGUAAGAGCUCACCAAGGCUAAGACGGGUAGCUGGUCUGAGAGGAUGAUCAGCCACACUGGAACUGAGACACGGUCCAGACUCCUACGGGAGGCAGCAGUGGGGAAUAUUGCGCAAUGGGCGAAAGCCUGACGCAGCCACGCCGCGUGAGCGAUGAAGGCCUCGGUCGUAAGACGUCUGUGGGAGGAGACGAAGAAAGACC